CUUUGAUAUGUUUAUAUUAUAGAUAUAAUACAUAAAACAUCUAGAGUGAGACUCUACGUUCUCCCCAAAAGAAGAGAACCAAGCCGUCCUUCCCUGCUCCCAGCCCCAGUGAUGCGUUGGCGGGAGGCCACCUCCCUUCCCGACCAGGAGCCAGGGCCUCUGGGGGACAAGCCUUGUGGGCAGCCCAGGCCGGAGGGGCUGGGGAAAGCUGAGGGCAAAGGAGAACCCCCCUCACCUCAUUGGUCCCCCAGGAUCAAAAGUAAUCCCAAAACCAAAAGGAAAGGGAGUCUCAGACCCUUCCCCCAGCUGCCGACGGAGAGUCUCAUUUUGGCAAGUAUCCGAGCAAAACCAAAACAAAACAAAAACCAAAUAAAAUGGUGGUUUAGCAGAGACGCGCACAUUCACAUUGCACAAGGCACUGCUGGGGCACAGAGGCCAGAUACAAGUGUUGAUAUCGGCUGAUAAAGCAAAAUAUUUGGAAAGCUUGUCAUAACUCCGGUCCCUCUGGGAUGGACUGAUCGUGCUUCGUGUUCCUAGGCAAUGCUGAAGGCAUACAGUACAAACAAGGCUGAGGGUCCCAGUGGCCCUUCACCCCCCAUGCCCGCCCCACAGCCAGAUCUCUAGGUCUCCCUCUCCCACCAGGGGUAUACAUCCUCAGAGCUGACCCACGACCUAGCUUUCUGGUGUGACUCGGGGUGGGGGCUCCCACUGGUCACCUGGUGACCCCCAUCGCAGUGAGUUCCGCCCCAAGGGGAAGCCCAGCCUAUAGCAGGCUGGGGUGGGGUGUGUGCGGAGGGAGGUGGGAGAGGCGUGGAACUAGAGACCCUCCACCUUCAUGUAGAACUAGGGGAACAACCUUAGGUUCCAAGCCCCAAGUCCCUAUGUUUCCACCCCUUUCUAAGGACAGGCGUGGAGGAGCGGCUGGGGCUGGCGGGCUUGUCGGGAUCUCAGCUCCCUGAGCCCUCCUCCUGCCACGGGCCUGCUCCCCUCCUUCUCUCAUGGGGGUCUGCUGUAGCCUCGGGAAGGAGGCAGGAAACCUCCAAAUAAAAUGACAAGGCACGAUUUGCUCCCCCUACUCAGUAGGCAUUGGAGCGGUGAGUUUGCAUUUCCAAGGCACAAGGUUAUCCUAAAUACUAGAGUUGCCGGGCUCCCAGCUCAGCCCCAAGAAUUCUCCCCUCCUCGCAGGGAGAAGCCACCGCCUGGCCCCCUCAUCUUAGACGCACCAAGUCCGGCGCAGAGGAAGGGAGGGGACACGCGGAGCAGGCCAGGCUUUCAGGAGGCACCGGAAUCUCCUAGUCCUGGCUCGCACGGCUCGGGCAAGCCUCGAGAUCCGGCGACCCCAAACCACUCCCUGGGUCCCCGCCGGAGGCUGGCCCAGGGCGGUCCCACAGCCGCGCGCCUCACGCGCAGUUGCCCAUGGCCUUGACCAAGGAGCUCUCUGGCAGCUGGCGGAAGAUGCCCCGCAGCGUGUCCAGUUCGCGGCUCAGCUGUUCCACCCGCUUGCGCAGGCGGUCAUUGUCACUGGUCAGCUCCAGCACCUUCUGCUGCGUCUCCACGUUGCGCUGCUUGGCCUUGUCGCGGCUCUUGCGCACCGCGAUGUUGUUGCGCUCGCGCCGCACCCGGUACUCGUUGCUGUUCUUGUCCACCGACUUCUUGGCCUUGCCCGCGCCGCUGCCGCCACUCGCGCGGAGGUCGGGGUGCGCGGCGCCCAGCCCCUUGAGCGCGCUGCCAGGGCCCGGCAGGCCGGCGGCACCGAGCGCGGGCGCGGGGUGCGGGCUGGGCACGGGCGUGGGCGCUGAUGUCGAUGGACGUCUCGUGCUCGCAGAUGCCGCCCAGCGGCUCCGGGGCGGCAGGUGGGGCGGGAGGCUGCGCGGGGCCCGCGCCCCGGGGAAAGCCGAAGGCGGCGCUGCUGG
rnacentral:lncRNA from 1 species